CCAGGCUCCAUUCUGGUUGAGUUUAGAAGGAGAUUUAAAAGCAGAUGAUGGAGCAAAGACACGAGAAGGCUGAAGGGAAAAGCUCAGACUUGCAGAUGGAAG